UUAAAGUCUAAUCUGCUCUAUGAGGAAUUUAAUGGCCGCGGUACUUUGACCGUGCAAAGGUAGCAUAAUAAUUAGUUUUUUAAUUGAAAGCUGGAAUGAAUGAUUGGACGAGAAAAUGACUGUCUCAAUUUAAUUUGUUAGAAUUUUAUUUUUAAGUAAAAAAGCUUAAAUUUUAUUAAAAGACGAGAAGACCCUAUAGAGUUUUAUAUUUAAUUAAAUGUUAGUUUUUUAGAAUUUUUUUAUUUAUAUUUAAUUAAUUAUUUUGUUGGGGCGAUAGGGAAAUAUUAUUAACUUUUUUUAGUAAAAUUACAUUAAUGUAUGAGUUUAUGAUCCAUUAUUUAUGAUUAAAAGAUUAAGUUACCUUAGGGAUAACAGCGUAAUUUUUUUUUAGAGUUCUUAUCGAAAAGAAAGGUUGCGACCUCGAUGUGGAUUAAAAUUAAUAYUUAGUUUAUDAGAGGGDAWAUUAGACUUUACA
rnacentral:rRNA from 1 species